AUUGAACGCUGGCGGAAUGCUUUACACAUGCAAGUCGAACGGCAGCACGGGGGCAGCCCUGGUGGCGAGUGGCGAACGGGUGAGUAAUACAUCGGAACGUGCCCGGUCGUGGGGAUAACGUAGCGAAAGUUACGCUAAUACCGCAUACGAUCUGAGGAUGAAAGCGGGGGACCUUCGGGCCUCGCGCGAUCGGAGCGGCCGAUGUCGGAUUAGGUAGUUGGUGGGGUAAAGGCCUACCAAGCCGACGAUCUGUAGCUGGUCUGAGAGGACGACCAGCCACACUGGGACUGAGACACGGCCCAGACUCCUACGGGAGGCAGCAGUGGGGAAUUUUGGACAAUGGGCGCAAGCCUGAUCCAGCCAUGCCGCGUGCAGGACGAAGGCCUUCGGGUUGUAAACUGCUUUUGUACGGAACGAAAAGGCUCUGGCUAAUACCUGGGGCUCAUGACGGUACCGUAAGAAUAAGCACCGGCUAACUACGUG
rnacentral:rRNA from 1 species